rnacentral:lncRNA from 1 species
CCCAUCCAACUUUGGACAUUUUUAUCAUGGAGAAAAAGACGUUUUUGUCCAAAUGGAGAAAAACCUGGAGGAUCAGAGAUUAAGAAUCACUCCCACUAACAAUCCCUAAGCCUGUGUUCAUGAGCCCCACUAACCAACAAAACAUAUUAUUAUUCUGUAAUUCAUCUUGAUAUCGUGUAACUUAUGAAGGAAAUUAUAAAGUAAAUUAUCACAACAUAUCCUAUAUUUUAAAAGUGGGCCUGGAUGCUGUGGCUCAUGCCUAUAAUCCCAGCACUUUGGGAGGGCAAGGCAGGUGGAUCACCUGAGCAAAAAUUAGCCUGGUGUGGUGGCUCACACCUGUAAUCCCAGCUACUCGGGAGGUUGAGGCAAAAGACAAAAAGAAGAUUCUGAAAGUAGCAAAAACAAAAGACUUUUCAGCAGACAACUUAUACUCCAAGAAAGAGUAGAAUGAUAUUCAAAGUUACUAGAGAAGGAAAAAACCUGCCAACCAAGAAUACUGAAAAUCUAUCCUUCAGAAAAGAUAAAGAGAUAAACACUUUCCCUGACAAACAUACAAAUCCUAUCAAGCAUCUUCUCUGACCACAAUGGUAUAAAAUGAGAAAUCAAUAACAGGAGAAACUCCAGAAAAUUCAUAAGUACAUUAAAAUAACAUGCUCCUGAGCAACCAAUAGAUCAAUGAAGAAGUUAAAAGAGAGGUUAAAAAAUUUCUCGAGACAAACUGAAAUGGAAACACAACAUACCAAAAGCUACAGGAUACAGCAAAAGCUCAGGGAUGGCAGAGGCAGAACAAAAUCUACGUGCUAGUGGACCCACACAGCUCUAGCCCACGUUGUUCAAGGAUCAACUGUAAUUACAAGAGUAGACCAUU